rnacentral:lncRNA from 1 species
UUGGCAAUAUUUAAUUAUUCAUAUUUAGAAUUUUUAAAGUUAAACAUUUUCAGUAUAUUCUAAAAAGGGGGAAAACGGUCAGAAAGCCCAUGGCCUGGCUAUGCCUGAUGCCCAGCCCAAUACCCGAAACCUGAGUAAGGGCCAGGCUUGGGCGUGGAAGUAGCCCCAAAGGCCAAGCCAAGCUAUGCCUAGACCAACCCUAAGUAAAUUGAGUUGACCUUUGGGCAUAGCCUGGCUGAUCCCGGCCUGAUCAUAGAUCCAAUCAAGUUUAAAACAGAACAACUACAUGCAUGAUGCUGUUUUAAGUCAAAUAAACACUACUUAAGUGCAUAAAUAAGCAUUUGCUUCCUAUAUAUACUAUUUACUGUGCAUUAACCACUUAGAAACUUCAACAUUAUGUUCCAUCUGCAUCUUUCAUGUACCCAGCAUUCAAGAUCCUCACAAGUAUCUUCCCAGAAACUAAAAGAGGAAAAAAAAAACAACUGAUCAAAACCCUCUUUUUGACAAACUCUUCAAAUAUUGUUUCCCAAGGACAACUGAAAAAAUCUUGGACUGAUGGAUUGAGCCCUCAUGCGAGUAAAAAGCCAAGCUACUGAUUUGGAUGGGAUAUUAAACCAUAGAACAUGUACCUGAUCCAAAUAACCUCAAAACAACCAUCACCUAUCAGAUCUGACCUAAGCUUUUUAACAAGAAUCAUGUCCGUUGCCAUGGCUUAGACUAAACCAACCCUCC